rnacentral:rRNA from 1 species
GACGAACGCUGGCGGCGUGCUUAACACAUGCAAGUCGAGCGGUAAGGCCCUUUCGGGGGUACACGAGCGGCGAACGGGUGAGUAACACGUGGGUGACCUGCCCUCAGCUCUGGGAUAAGCCUGGGAAACCGGGUCUAAUACUGGAUAUGACUCCAUGACGCAUGUUGUGGGGUGGAAAGCCUUGUGCGGCUGAGGAUGGGCCCGCGGCCUAUCAGCUUGUUGGUGGGGUGAGGCCUACCAAGGCGACGACGGGUAGCCAGCCUGAGAGGGCGACCGGCCACACUGGGACUGAGACACGGCCCAGACUCCUACGGGAGGCAGCAGUGGGGAAUCUUGCGCAAUGGGCGAAAGCCUGACGCAGCGACGCCGCGUGAGGGAUGACGGCCUCGGUUGUAAC